GGCCACCUUCAACACGUGUCAGCCGGCCGCAGCCGGGCCUGCCUCAAACAGGCAUCCCUCCUCCACACUGCCCUCAGCCGUUGGGGUUCCCCUCACCGUCCUCUCUUUUUUUUUUCUUUUUUUUUUUUUUGAGGAAGAUUAGCCAUGAGCUAACUACUGCCAGUCCUCUUCUUUCUGCCAAGGAAGACUGGCCCUGAGCUAACAUCCAUGCCCAUCUUCCUCUACGUUAUACGUGGGACGCCUACCACAGUAUGGCGUGCCAAGUGGUGCCAUGUCCGCACCCGGGAUCCGAUCCAGCGAACCCCGGGCCACAGAGAAGCAUAACGUACACACUUAACCACUGUGCCACCAGGCCGGCCCCCCGCCCCUUAAAGGGUCUAUCACCAGGCAUCCCCUUCUGCCUUCACAUCUUUCUCUCAGGCCCAGCCCUGACUCGGAUGGGUCGGACUGAGGGGUCCCCCCCUCGGUGUCUGGGUCCUUCCUCAGCUCUCAGGGGUCCACCCCCGCCUCGGUGUCUGGGUCCUUCCUCAGGUCUGAGGGGUCCCCCCCUCGGCGUCUGGGUCCUUCCUCAGGUCUGAGGGGUCCACCCCUCGGCGUCUGGGUCCUUCCUCAGGUCUGAGGGGUCCCCCCCUCGGCGUCUGGGUCCUUCCUCAGCUCUGAGGGGUACCCCCUCGGCGUCUGGGUCCUUCCUCAGCUCUGAGGGGUUCCGGCCCUCGGUCUCUUGCGGCCCUUCUCUCGGUCUGAGGGCUCGCCUCCUCUCCCUCACCACCCGCGCGUCUCCCUCACUCACCUCGCCGCCGCCGGCUCUCCUGGACUCGCUCGC
rnacentral:lncRNA from 1 species